CACGUAGGGCGCAAGCGUUGUCCGGAAUUAUUGGGCGUAAAGAGCUCGUAGGCGGUCUGUUGCGUCCGCUGUGAAAACUCGGGGCUUAACCCCGAGCCUGCAGUGGAUACGGGCAGACUAGAGGUAGGUAGGGGAGAAUGGAAUUCCCGGUGUAGCGGUGAAAUGCGCAGAUAUUGGGAGGAACACCGGUGGCGAAGGCGGCCCCCUGGACCGGUACUGACGCUGAGGCGCGAAAGCGUGGGGAGCAAACGGG
rnacentral:rRNA from 1 species